UGCUCUUUGGAAUCUGCUGUGUCCAAACCCUGUGGACGAAGGACAUGCAGGGCUGGUGAGUGCUGGAGGAAAAUCAGAGCUCUGUAUUCAUAGGGAAAAUUAAACCAGGAGCAGAGAGGUGGAUAACGAAAUCCUGCAGAAGGCAGUGUGGAACAGCGGGAAAGAGGAAUGCUACGGGACUACGCAGCUCUGGUUCCGGGGAUCACCAGAGGCCCUCAAGACUGUAGAGGACUUUGAACACAUAACAACAGUGAAAGGUACAAGAUAGAUGGACCCUUGACCACCCUGAAUCAUCCUUGGAGGAGUGCUACUGAGUGUUGAAUAUCUGCAUUGAACUUGAUGGGGCAAGGAUAAAUUUUACUCUCUGCUGAGAUGUGGGCAAUUAUAUUUUAUAAUUAGCCUACCUUGAUCAAUAUAACUGGUACUGUGAGACAGAAGGUAAUGUUUGAAAAGAUUUAUUAUCUGUAGUCUCAAGGCAAACAGCUGAAGAACAAAAUCAUUAAUUAUAUGGGAGGAGAGAGAGCAAGAUAACACAACAACAACAAAAAUGGUAGCGUGCUAGGCUAGUUUUUGAACCAUGUAAGAUUCUGUCAGUCCAACCAGCUUAUCUAUUCACCCUUUCUCAGACUCAGGCCCUUGGGCUAUUUCCUGUCAGAUAGGCAUAAUAAUUCAUGAUUUCCCUAGUCCAGACUAGUGCCAUUGCUUUACUACCCCUAGAAAAUGGAACCCUUAAGCUCUGUGUUGGUUGAGAUGGACAAACUCUGCUCCCUUCACACUGACCAGGCUGGAUCUGAGGACUAUCUAGUUCUUCUGUCUGCCUAGAGAAGCCAAAUUGCACAGCCUUGAAGUAUAGGCAAGUUGAUGUUUCACAGGCACUGGUUGACCAAUGAAAAACAAGAUGCUGGGGAGCCAGGGUGGCUCAGUAGUUCAGCCCCUCCUUCAGCCCAGGGUGUGAUCCUGGAGACCUGGGAUCGAGUCCCACGUCAGGCUCCCUGCAUGGAGCCUGCUUCUC